CUUUCCUUCAGCGGUAAAGAGAACAAAGGAGAGCUCUUUCAGGCUUCAAGCCCUGCCAGAGGGGAGGGCAAGAGAGGGGAGAAGCCACAGCUCCAGUGAACCCGGGAGGCUGGGGUCAAGGCCUGGGCGGCUGGCGGGGCUGGUCGGGCCCUGUCUCCAGAGAGCCUCCAGGUGGAGGUGGGAGAGGGGUCACGGGUGUGGAGGCCAGGCCGGGGCUACACCUGCAGCAGUUCUGUGGGUGGAGGAACUGUCCUGAGAGCCCCAGGGCCCAGCCUGGGAGGCCUCAGCCCCGGAAGCACAGGGCCCGCAGGAGAACUCCGUGUCCGGUUCCUUAUGGCUUCUAGGAAAUGACAGUUUUGAAUGAAAAGAAAACCAUCACUUCGAAGCUUCUUGUUGAGCAUUCUUCAUACGUGUAUUGAUCAUGUCGAUCUCUGACAGGCAUCUAACAGUGCCUGGAUUCUGGACUCUAGAGCCGUUUCUCAAUUUAUUCCCUUCGUACAUAUGAGUAUAUUUCCAUCCUCUGAAGGUCUCAAGUUACGAUCAUAUUUCCUGUCACCUUAUACUUGUUUGCUCUGUUAUAUUGGGUAUAUGGGGGACUCAGUUUGUCCCGAGAAUGGAUAAAAGUCGUGGUAUCAUUGGACUCUAUCUCAGGACUUAAAAUAGAUUCUUUUGAUAUAGAUAUAAGAUAUGGUUUCAUAUUUCUAGACUCAUGCAUCACACACCAGUUCAAACAAUUAUAAACUUCAUUAACUAGAAUAGUGUUGUUUUCAAAAUAGUCGUUUGUUUGGGGUUGAAUUCUGUCCCCCUAGAAAAGAUGUGCCGAAAUCCCAAUCUCUGGCACCUGUGAAUGUGACCUUCUUAGGAAACGGGUUAUUGUAGGUGUUGUUAGUUAAGAUGAGGCUGUACUGGAGUAGGGUGGCCCUAAUCCAAUCGGACUGGUGUCCUUAUAAGAAGCGGAGAGAGAUACUGAGAGAGACACAGGAAGAGGAAGCCCACGUGAUGACGGAGGCGGAGAUGGGAGUGAUGCAGCCACAAGCCAAAGACUGCAGGACAAACGGCAGCUGCUAGAAGAGGCUAGAAGGAUCCCCUAUAGCUUUCAGAGGGAGCACGUCCCUGCUGACAACUUGAUUUCAGCCUCUGGCCUCCAGAACUACGAGAGAAAAAAAUUCCUCUUGCUUUAAGCUACCCGGUUUGUGGUACUUUCUGACGGAAGCCACAGGCAACCAUACACACCUCUAAGAAAGGGAUAGGAUUACCUUACUUUUCCCAGACUUAUCUGAUCAGAGAGCAUCUUUGUCUUCGAUGGUGUAUCCUGAGAGCACUUGGCCAGCCCAGUGUGGCCAUCCCUGCCUGCUGGGAUGGCCUUUUUUCCUCGUUUGAUUCCUGCAUCCCUUAAGAGCAGGGUGGUACCCAGGGUAACGGCCCCCCAAGGAUGUCCAUGCUGAAUCCUGGAACCUGUGACUAUGUAAGUUAUGUAGCAAAGGGCACUUAAGGUGGCAGGUGGAACUAAGGCUGCUGAUCUGCUGACUUCACAAUAGGGAGAUUGUCCAGGUGGGCCUAGGGUAGUCAUGAGGGUUCUUAAAAGUGAGAGAAAGAGUCAGAGAGAGACAGAAAGAUGGCAGCAGGGGAUGGGCUCAGACCACGAUGCUGGCUUUGAGGGUGAAGGAAGGAGCCACAAGCCAAGGAACGUGGGUACCGUCUAGAAGUGUGAAAAGGCAAGGACAUGGGUCGUUCCCAAGAGCCCCCGGAAAGGAAUGCUGCCCUGCUGACACCUUGAUCUUGGCCCAGUGAGUCACCGUGUAUGGAUGUGAUACACGGUCAGGAUCCCACCUUACCAGGAGGCCCGGAUGCACCCUCAAGUCAUUGAAAUGUAUCUUACAGAGCUGAGUCUGACAGGCCAAAUAAAGAUGUUAGAUUUUUCAGAAAUAAACAAUUCAUCAGUUUAAAAUUGCAGGCCACUCUGAGGAGUGCGGUGAAGUCUCUCUUUGCCCCGCCCAGCAUCCCCAAGCACUGCCCUGGUCUGCGCCUGACCUUCAACCAUCAGCAUCAUCACGGCUCAAUGAUCCAGGGUCACCCGAAGCAGAUCCUCCUGCUGAACUACCAUCGGAAGGUCAACGGCAGCUUAAUGCUAGAUCACAAUGUCUACGUCAUCCACCACACCUCAUCACAGAAGCGCUAUGUCAUUUCACGCCAGCGCACGGAAGGUGAGUACAGCACAAUCAGAUACUUUGACAGAGAGAGAGAGAGAGACAGACCACAUAACUUUUAUUACAGAAUAUUGUUAUCACUGUUUUAUCAUUAGUUAUUGGUGUUCAUCUCUUACUGCGCCUAAUGUAUAAAUUAAACUUUGUCAUAGGUCUGCAUGUAUAGGAAAAAACAGAGUAUCUAUAGGGUUUGGUACCCCACCAUGUUUCAGGCAUCCAUCAGGGGUCUUGGAAUGUUCCUCCGUGGAUAAGGGGGUCACUGUAGAGUGAACGCAGCUCUCUCCCCAGGGGAAUCAGGCAGGUCAGGUGUAUAAGACAUGUUGACUUAGCAGCCUCGUCUGUGACCUUGCUCCUGGCUUCCCCACCCCCAUGGUAGAUGUGUGGAGACAUCCCUCGGGGAAGCCUGGUAUCUGAGGGCAGGGGACCAUCUCUCCCCGGCCAGGAGGCUCCGUGGCUGCUGGAUUAGCCAAUGAUUUUGGGGUCUGCAGGGUGACACAUUAGGAGGGGUGUGCUCAAAGGUUAUUCAAACAUUUCAAAUAAAGCAUAUUUGAGCAUGGGAAGGCCAAGGAGUGUUAAUCAAAUGUCAGCACCAAGACACUGUGUGGGCUAUUUCUGGAGUGUUUGCAGAGUGGGCCUGGCUGGGGCUCUGCAGGACGCAUGUGUCCCCGAGGGAGGACACAGGCAGAGCCCUGCGCCCAUGGCCCGAGCACGCGGGGCCCCCGGAUGUGGUGCAGGGACGGGAUACUCUGAAACAGACACAGAGGACACGCACAUGUGUGGACCACCAAGACCGGGGUCUGUUCCAGUCUGCCCUUCUUGGGAAGUUCGAUUAGAAGGAAAUAUUCUGCAUAAGAAUGAUGGGCACAGAGAAAUGACUGACGUGAUCACAUGCCGGUGAUGGGCACCAAUCGUGGAAAAGAAACAUCCUCCUACAGCCUUCACGUCACAGACUUCGGCCCCAGAAGCGCCUUCCCUGCCACAUCCGUCCUGCGUCCUUCCACAUCUCCCUCCCAGUCUCCUUCCCAGGAAACCGAGCCCGAGAUGCCACUCUCUCCCCAGCUCUGAUCAAAACAGCUCUGAUCAAAACCGCAGCCCCAGUCACAAACUCAAGAGUCUUUUGACAGCAGCAAUUAAGCAACUUAAUUAAUGAGUGAAUAAAAAUGAUAAUAUUUACUGAA